ACGCUGGCGGCAGGCCUAACACAUGCAAGUCGAGCGGUAGAGAGAAGCUUGCUUCUCUUGAGAGCGGCGGACGGGUGAGUAAUGCCUAGGAAUCUGCCUGGUAGUGGGGGAUAACGUUCGGAAACGGACGCUAAUACCGCAUACGUCCUACGGGAGAAAGCAGGGGACCUUCGGGCCUUGCGCUAUCAGAUGAGCCUAGGUCGGAUUAGCUAGUUGGUGGGGUAAUGGCUCACCAAGGCGACGAUCCGUAACUGGUCUGAGAGGAUGAUCAGUCACACUGGAACUGAGACACGGUCCAGACUCCUACGGGAGGCAGCAGUGGGGAAUAUUGGACAAUGGGCGAAAGCCUGAUCCAGCCAUGCCGCGUGUGUGAAGAAGGUCUUCGGAUUGUAAAGCACUUUAAGUUGGGAGGAAGGGCUGUAGAUUAAUACUCUGCAAUUUUGACGUUACCGACAGAAUAAGCACCGGCUAACUCUGUGCCAGCAGCCGCGGUAAUACAGAGGGUGCAAGCGUUAAUCGGAAUUACUGGGCGUAAAGCGCGCGUAGGUGGUUAGUUAAGUUGGAUGUGAAAUCCCCGGGCUCAACCUGGGAACUGCAUUCAAAACUGACUGACUAGAGUAUGGUAGAGGGUGGUGGAAUUUCCUGUGUAGCGGUGAAAUGCGUAGAUAUAGGAAGGAACACCAGUGGCGAAGGCGACCACCUGGACUGACACUGACACUGAGGUGCGAAAGCGUGGGGAGCAAAC
rnacentral:rRNA from 1 species